rnacentral:rRNA from 4 species
UUGACCUCGGAUCAGGUAGGGAUACCCGCUGAACUUAAGCAUAUCAAUAAGCGGAGGAAAAG